CCUACGGGUGGCAGCAGUGGGGAAUAUUGCGCAAUGGGGGCAACCCUGACGCAGCAACGCCGCGUGAUUGAAGAAGGCCUUCGGGUUGUAAAGAUCUUUAAUCGGGGACGAAGAUUGACGGUACCCGAAGAUUAUGCGCUGGCUAACUACGUGCCAGCAGCCGCGUUAAUACGUAGGGAGCAAGCGUGAUCCGGAUUUACUGGGUGUAAAGGGCGUGUAGGCGGGUAUGCAAGCCAGAGGUGAAAUCUGGGGGCUUAACCCCCAAACUGCUUUUGGAACUGCGUGUCUUGAGUGAAGGAGAGGCAGGCGGAAUUCCCAGUGUAGCGGUGAAAUGCGUAGAUAUUAGGAGGAACACCAGUGGCGAAGGCGGCCUGCUGGACAUUAACUGACGCUGAGGCGCGAAAGCGUGGGGAGCAAACAGGAUUAGAUACCCGGGUAGUC
rnacentral:rRNA from 1 species